UACAGAGGUCCCAAGCGUUGUUCGGAUUCAUUGGGCGUAAAGGGUGCGUAGGCGGCGCGGUAAGUCGGGUGUGAAAUCUCGGGGCUUAACUCCGAAACUGCAUUCGAUACUGCCGUGCUUGAGGACUGGAGAGGAGACUGGAAUUUACGGUGUAGCGGUGAAAUGUGUAGAGAUCGGGAGGAACACCGGUGGCGAAGGCGGCGUCCUGGACCAACACUGACACUGAGGAGCGAAAGCCAGGGGAGCAAACGGG
rnacentral:rRNA from 1 species